AGUGGCGGACGGGUGAGUAACGCGUGGAUAACCUGCCGUAUACCGGGGGAUAACACUUAGAAAUAGGUGCUAAUACCGCAUAAGCGCACGGCUCCGCAUGGGGCAGUGUGAAAAACUCCGGUGGUAUACGAUGGAUCCGCGUCUGAUUAGCUAGUUGGCGGGGUAACGGCCCACCAAGGCAGCGAUCGGUAGCCGGCCUGAGAGGGUGGACGGCCACAUUGGGACUGAGACACGGCCCAAACUCCUACGGGAGGCAGCAGUAGGGAAUCUUCCACAAUGGGCGAAAGCCUGAUGGAGCAACGCCGCGUGGGUGAAGAAGGUCUUCGGAUCGUAAAACCCUGUUGUUAGAGAAGAAAGUGCGUGAGAGUAACUGUUCACGUUUCGACGGUAUCUAACCAGAAAGCCACGGCUAACUACGUGCCAGCAGCCGCGGUAAUACGGAGGAUGCGAGCGUUAUCCGGAUUUAUUGGGUUUAAAGGGUGCGUAGGCGGAGUGUCAAGUCAGCGGUAAAAUUUCGGGGCUCAACCCCGUCGUGCCGUUGAAACUGACACCCUUGAGUGAGUGAGAAGUAAGCGGAAUGCGUGGUGUACCGGUGAAAUGCAUAGAUAUCACGCAAAACGCCGAUUGCGAAGGCAGCUUACCGGCGCUCAACUGACGCUGANGCACGAAAGUGCGGGUAUCGAACAGGAUUANAUACCCUGGUA
rnacentral:rRNA from 1 species